rnacentral:rRNA from 1 species
GAUGAACGCUAGCUACAGGCUUAACACAUGCAAGUCGAGGGGAAACGAUAUUGGAAGCUUGCUUCCGAUAGGCGUCGACCGGCGCACGGGUGAGUAACGCGUAUCCAACCUGCCCAUCACUUGGGGAUAACCUUGCGAAAGUAAGACUAAUACCCAAUGAUAUCUCAAGAAGACAUCUGAAUGAGAUUAAAGAUUUAUCGGUGAUGGAUGGGGAUGCGUCUGAUUAGCUUGUUGGCGGGGUAACGGCCCACCAAGGCGACGAUCAGUAGGGGUUCUGAGAGAAAGGUCCCCCACAUUGGAACUGAGACACGGUCCAAACUCCUACGGGAGGCAGCAGUGAGGAAUAUUGGUCAAUGGGCGAGAGCCUGAACCAGCCAAGUAGCGUGCAGGAUGACGGCCCUAUGGGUUGUAAACUGCUUUUAUAAGGGAAUAAAGUGAGCCUCGUGAGGCUUUUUGCAUGUACCUUAUGAAUAAGGACCGGCUAAUUCCGUGCCAGCCGCCGCGGUAA